rnacentral:rRNA from 1 species
UCCUACGGGAGGCAGCAGUAGGGAAUUUUCGUCAUUUGUCGCGAGCCUGACCGAGCAAUGCCGCGUGAACGAGGAAGGUCUUCGGAUCGUAAAGUUCUGUUGAAGGGGAAAAAGAGCGGAGAGAGGAAAUGGUCUCCGAUUGAUAUUACCCUUCGAGGAAGUCACGGCUAACUACGUGCCAGCAGCCGCGGUAAUACGUAGGUGGCGAGCGUUAUCCGGAAUGAUUGGGCGUAAAGGGUGCGUAGGCGGCCUGCUAAGUCUGGAGUGAAAGGUACCGGCUCAACCGGUACAGGCUCUGGAAACUG